rnacentral:rRNA from 1 species
CCUACGGGUGGCAGCAGUGAGGAAUAUUGGUCAAUGGGCGGAAGCCUGAACCAGCCAAGUAGCGUGAGGGAGGAAGGUACAGAGUAUCGUAAACCUCUUUUGUCAGGGAACAAAGACUGGGACGCGUCCCCGGAUGAGUGUACCUGAAGAAAAAGCAUCGGCUAACUCCGUGCCAGCAGCCGCGGUAAUACGGAGGAUGCGAGCGUUAUCCGGAUUUAUUGGGUUUAAAGGGUGCGCAGGCGGUCUGUUAAGUCAGCGGUCAAAGCCCGGGGCUCAACCCCGGCCCGCCGUUGAAACUGGCAGUCUCGAGUUGGAGAGAAGUAUGCGGAAUGCGCGGUGUAGCGGUGAAAUGCAUAGAUAUCGCGCAGAACUCCGAUUGCGAAGGCAGCAUGCCGGCUCCACACUGACGCUGAGGCACGAAAGCGUGGGUAUCGAACAGGAUUAGAUACCCGAGUAGUC